GAUGAACGCUAGCGGCAGGCUUAACACAUGCAAGUCGAGGGUAUAUUUCUUCGGAGAUAGAGACCGGCGCACGGGUGCGUAACGCGUAUGCAAUCUACCUUUUACAGAGGGAUAGCCCAGAGAAAUUUGGAUUAAUACCUCAUAGUAUUGCAGAAUGGCAUCAUUCAGCAAUUAAAGUCACAACGGUAAAGAUGAGCAUGCGUCCCAUUAGCUAGUUGGUAAGGUAACGGCUUACCAAGGCUACGAUGGGUAGGGGUCCUGAGAGGGAGAUCCCCCACACUGGUACUGAGACACGGACCAGACUCCUACGGGAGGCAGCAGUGAGGAAUAUUGGACAAUGGGCGCAAGCCUGAUCCAGCCAUGCCGCGUGCAGGAUGACGGUCCU
rnacentral:rRNA from 1 species